rnacentral:lncRNA from 1 species
CAUUUGGUCCUAGUGGUAUCAUUCUCGCUUUGGGUGCGAGAGGUCCCAAGUUUGAUUCUCGGAAUGCCCCCUUUUGAAGGCCUGAGUUUAACUUUUUAAUAUUUUAGUUAAAUACAAAUAGGCUCAUCUCGAAGUUGAUAAGGUUGACUUAUUAAUUGGUUAAUUAAAUACCCAUUAACAUCGGUUGUUAUGCCUUGAGAUGAAUGCUGUGAUACAUGAAGAAUGUACUAGUAGCCAAAGUUAUGUCCUAAUAUCAUGAACUCUCCC